rnacentral:rRNA from 1 species
CCUACGGGUGGCUGCAGUGGGGAAUUUUGGACAAUGGGGGCAACCCUGAUCCAGCCAUGCCGCGUGCGGGAAGAAGGCCUUCGGGUUGUAAACCGCUUUUGUCCGGGAAGAAAUCUUCCGAGCUAAUACCUUGGGAGGAUGACGGUACCUGAAGAAUAAGCACCGGCUAACUACGUGCCAGCAGCCGCGGUAAUACGUAGGGGGCAAGCGUUAAGCGGAAUUACUGGGCGUGAAGCGUGAAGACGCGGUUGAAAUCCCCGGGCUUAACCUGGGAACUGCACUUGUGACUGUACGGCUGGAGUACGGCAGAGGGGGAUGGAAUUCCGCGUGUAGCAGUGAAAUGCGUAGAUAUGCGGAGGAACACCGAUGGCGAAGGCAGUCACCUGGGCCUGUACUGACGCUCAUGCACGAAAGCGUGGGGAGCAAACAGGAUUAGAUACCCCGGUAGUC